rnacentral:rRNA from 1 species
UAACGCGUAAAGAACUUGCCCUUUAGACUGGGAUAACAGAGGGAAACUUCUGAUAAUACUGGAUAAGUUAGUAUAUCGCAUGAUAUGCAAAUGAAAGCUACGGCACUAAAGGAGAGCUUUGCGUCCUAUUAGCUAGUUGGUAAGGUAAGAGCUUACCAAGGCGAUGAUAGGUAGCCGGCCUGAGAGGGUGGACGGCCACAAGGGGACUGAGAUACGGCCCUUACUCCUACGGGAGGCAGCAGCU